UAAGUAAUCAGAAGGAAGAUUCCAGGCUGAGCGGAGUAACAGGCUUCCCUCUGGCCUGGAACAGCUGGAGAAACGAACCUGAGCCGUGUGACUGCUCCAGCUCACUGCCCAGAGAGAGGUUUGGUCUGCAGCAUGGGAGAAGGAGCUGUGGCAGAGUCCUCUCACCAUCCUGCGUUGAGGAGGGGGAGCCGAGCUCACAUCCUGAAAACAAGAAAGCUGCACAGAAAGAGACCUCUAGAGAUGGCACAGGUGCCCACCAAGCACUCAGCUGGGUUCUGACCACUGCAUGUGUAAGGAAACUACUCGAGGGCAGGAAACUGCCAAAGCUCACACGCACUGGAAACAGGGCAUGUUCCCCCGAGUUGGGGCAGGAAACCUCAAAUGGUGUCUCUUCACAGCAAUGGAACCUAACUAAGACAAGAAGUGAAAUGUGGAGGAAGAAACCUAGAUAAAAAUUUCUUUUAAGAGAUGGACAACAGAGAAUCUACCAGGAUCCCGUGCCCUUCCUGAAGCAUCAAUGAUCCAGAAGCCAGGUGUCUGGCUUUUCCAGGUCACAUUCAGCCAGUCUUCCAGAUACUACUAAAAGAGGAGACAGAAGCAAGAAUCCUUGUUAAUGGAGAAAAGUCUGGAAGGACAAACACAUUUCUGAUGUUAUUUCUUGGUUAGAAAUGAAAGGAAAGAUGAUACAGUAUUAAGUGUUUCUUUAUAAAA